rnacentral:rRNA from 1 species
UACGUAGGGUGCAAGCGUUGUCCGGAAUUAUUGGGCGUAAAGAGCUCGUAGGCGGUUUGUCGCGUCUGCUGUGAAAACCCGAGGCUCAACCUCGGGCCUGCAGUGGGUACGGGCAGACUAGAGUGCGGUAGGGGAGAUUGGAAUUCCUGGUGUAGCGGUGGAAUGCGCAGAUAUCAGGAAGAACACCAAUAGCGAAGGCAGCUCGCUGGGACGGUAUUGACGCUAAGGCGCGAAAGCGUGGGGAGCAAACAGG